AUUUGUUACUUGAAGCAUGUGACCAGCAGACACCAAUCCUCUGCUGUGAGUGGAGUCCAGAUUGUGACAUCUGGAAGGAAGAGACAUUCGCAAGAAGCUCUCUCCAACAGUUGAAUUUAAAGAGUUAACCCUCUGAGACAAAUACAUUUGAGUGACAGGCAAUUCUGGAAUUUGACCUUGUGACCUUCAGGGCAAGAUGGAAAGUAAUUCACUCACUGCCACGAGAUGGGUGGGAAUAAACUGUUGUUUUUGGGCUCAGAGACUCAUCAGUCUGGAGAAAGGAAUCCUUCUCCUGAAGGAGAUUGGGCUAACCAAGCUCCAUGUCCCACAGUCCACAGAGGAAGCUCCUGAUCUCCAUUGUGCAAGUUUUUCUGGGAGAGCCUGCAGUACAUGCCAAAUUGGUGCAGGAACUUCAUCAUCAUGUGCUGGCACCCCUUGCUACCUUGACAGCAUUUAGAGUCUGAGGAAGAGCAUGCAGGUCAAGAACCUGAGGGCCAUGAAGCACAGCCUGAAGACCAACCAGCAGGAGCAAGACGAGGAGGAGGAGGAAGAGAAAAACGAGGAGGAAGACGAGGAAGGCUACUCGGGGGAUGCCCCAGCUGAGCAUCAAAGUCCUCAUCUCCCAGCUGAACAUAGGAGGAAGGCCAAGUAGAGAAUCAUUUGUAGAGAAAGAUUUUUCAUAAGAAGCCUGAUUAAUUGAUCAUCUCCAGUGUAAACCAAGUGACCAUCUCCACACUCCACUUUUUA